rnacentral:rRNA from 1 species
UACAGGGGGUGCAAACGUUGCUCGGAAUCAUUGGGCGUAAAGCGCACGUAGGCGGUCUGUUAUGUCGGAUGUGAAAGUCCUGGGCUUAACCUGGGGAUUGCGCCUAAUACUGUUUGGCUAGAGUACUGUAGAGGGAAGUGGAAUUUCCGGUGUAGCGGUGAAAUGCGUAGAUAUCGGAAGGAACAUCAGUGGCGAAGGCGACUUUCUGGACAGAUACUGACACUGAGGCACGAAAGCGUGGGGAGCAAACAGG